rnacentral:rRNA from 1 species
UACGUAGGGUGCGAGCGUUGCCCGGAUUUAUUGGGCGUAAAGGGCGCGUAGGCGGCCACGCACGUCCGUUGUGAAAUCGCCCGGCUCAACUGGGCGGGGUCAGCGGAUACGGUGUGGCUCGAGCAAGCUAGGGGGCAAUGGAAUUCCCGGUGUAGUGGUGGAAUGCGUAGAUAUCGGGAGGAACACCAGUGGCGAAGGCGGUUGCCUGGAGCUUUGCUGACGCUGAGGAGCGAAAGCAUGGGGAGCGAACAGG